rnacentral:rRNA from 1 species
UACGGAGGGAGCUAGCGUUGUUCGGAAUUACUGGGCGUAAAGCGCACGUAGGCGGCUUUGUAAGUUAGAGGUGAAAGCCCGGGGCUCAACCCCGGAAUUGCCUUUAAGACUGCAUCGCUUGAAUCCGGGAGAGGUGAGUGGAAUUCCGAGUGUAGAGGUGAAAUUCGUAGAUAUUGGGAAGAACACCGGUGGCGAAGGCGGCUCACUGGCUCAUUUCUGACGCUCAGGCGCGACAGCGUGGGGAUCAAACAGG